GUGAUUCAGAGAUUUAUGGCUGAUAACAGUGUUACAAUGUCACUAUUGAUAAAUUUAAAAAAUAUAUAUUUUGAAAUAGCAAUGUUCUCCUUGUUUUUAUAGCCCUAUAAUUUGCAAAAGAAAAGCUAAGAACAUGUUAACAUUGUGUAUUUCUAAAUUCAGGACAAAAUUUAGAAACUAUUUAGUAUGGAUGUUUUUCGGCGGUUGUAGAUGCGUAACAGAUUUUAGUGGUCAAAGUUAGAAAAAGUGUUUUGUUUUUUAAAAAAUUUUCAUCAUAUUUUAUAAAAAAAUUUUAUAGUAAAUUAUAUGAUAUGAUGAAAAUAAUGGUACCUUUAGAAAGACCAUU